AGCGGCCCGCCACAGUCUAAUUUGUCCCGCCACAGUUUAAUAAUAAACCGAACAUAUGUUUAUACUUCUCAUAAUAAGAUAAAAUAUCUCUGUUUUGUGCCGUCGCUUCAACCAAGCUUGUCUCAUUCCAAGACAACAUUCGCCUCCCAACCCCGCCCCCCCCCACCCCCCAUUUUGAAUAUAAUCAUUGGUUGAAACCUAAUCAUUACAUUAUUUAAUGAUAACAUUAUUUUUUCCUACUUUGCACCGAUAGUGCUCUUCUAUGGAGAAAGAAAAAGGGUAAAUAUUCAAUAGCAAAAUUAGUGUCCUCUUUAAACCAGAAAGUGCACUAAUGGUAACGUGUGCACUAAAAAGUAUGUCUUUGUAUUUUUUCCUUUAAUGUCCUUUGGUGUGUCCUUAUUGACAAAAGAGUCACUGACCACGUUAGAUGAUGGAAUGUGGCUGGAUGACAUUGUCAUAGACAUUCACCUGAGGUAAUUCUGUUGAAGAAUCUAAAAAUUGUAUAUCAUAACAUGCUUAGUAGUAAUUUUCUACUUUUGAAACCUUGCUAGGUCAAGUCACAGUGAAUUAGGGCCUCAUACUGUAUAAGGCGAAAUCUUUGAUCCACCCAGCGCAUUUUUACACUAAAUUAAAAACCAGGUAGGAGUUGCUCAUAUGUUGUGAAAGAUAAAUGGAGCAAUAAAUUCAAUUUGAAUUACACAGCCAAUUUCCCUUUAUAUAUUUGUAAAUGCUAUAUAAUAAUAAAUUCUUGUGGAUGCAAUGAUUGACCAGUCAGUCACAAUGGACAGGCUAUUGACUUGCUAAUCAAAACAUCUUAAAGAUGGACUUGCCAAUCAAAACGUGUUCUCAAAGAUGGACUCGCCAAUCAAGACAUGUUCUCAAAAAUGGACUCGCCAAUCAAAACAUGUUCUCAAAGAUGGACUCGCCAAUCAAAACAUGUUCUCAAAGAUGGACUUGCCAAUCAAAACAAAUUCUCAAAGAUGGACUCGCCAAUCAAAAUGUCUUAAAGAUGGACUCACCAAUCAGUACGUCUUAAAGAUGGAAUCGCCAGUCAGUACGUCUUAAAGAUGGACUCAACAGUCAGUACGUCUUAAAGAUGGACUCGCCAGUCAGUACGUCUUAAAGAUGGACUCGCCAAUCAGUAAGUCUUAAAGAUGGACUCGCCAAUCAAUACAUCUUAAAGAUGGACUCACCAAUCAAAAUGUCUUAAAGAUGGACUCGCCAAUCAAUAUGUCUUAAAGAUGGACUUGCCAAUCAAAAGGUCUUAAAGAUGGACUCGGCAAUCAAAACAUCUUAAAGAUGGACUCGCCAAACAAAACGUUUUAAAGAUGGACUCGCCAAUCAAAACAUCUUAAAGAUAGACUUUCCAAUCAAAACAUCUUAAAGAUAGACUUGCCAAUCAAAACAUCUUAAAGAUGGACUCGCCAAUCAAAACAUCUUAAAGAUGGACUUGCCAAACAAAACAUCUUAAAGAUGGACUCACCAAUCAAAACAUCUUAUAGAUGGACUCGCCAAGCAAAACGUUUUAAAGAUGGACUCGCCAACCAAAUCAUCUUAAAGAUGAGUCUGAGUCUUUAUUAUUAACCACAUAUACAUUACAGCACAGUGAAAUUCUUUUCUUUGCAUACCCCAGCAUGUCAGGAAGCUGGGGUCAGAGCACAGGGUCAGCCAUGCGACAGUGCCUGUGGAGCAGAAAGGGUUAAGGGCCUUGCUCAAGGGCCCAACAGUGGCAGUUUGGCAGUGCUGGGGCUUGAACCCCCAACCUUCCAAUCAGUAACCCAGAGCCUUAACCACCAAGCCACCACAAAACGUUGAAAAAGGAAAAGACUUGCCAAACAAAACGAUUUAAAGAUAGACCCACCAAUCAAAACGUCUUAGAGAUGGACUCACCAAUUAAAACAUCUUAAAGAUGGACUAGCCAAUCAAAACGUCUUAAAGAUGGACUCGCCAAACAAAAUACGAGACCUGAGUGACGUCACGAUUGGCGUUUCAUUUGCCGAAAGAAAUCACGGAAACAGCGUAAUGUUGCACCAGAUCUGUGGCCCUCUGAAGCUGGCAACAGACCUGCUCCUUGCCUGAAGAAGUGGCAUGACCUAUAGAUAAAUGUCAAGAAAUAUAUGAGGUGCAUCACAUCCAUGUCUCCCCAGACCUAUCUGAGAAGGCCAGACCAAAGCGGGCACCCAAAAACAGCUGCUUCUUUGACCUGCAGGCAUCAUGGAGCCAGCCUAUGUUACUCACAUUGGACCUAGCACUUUUGUCACUCUUGUUCAUCAAUCUAACCCCACAUUAGAGUGUGUGUUCAGUGUGUUUGUGGUCUCUGAAUCCUCAGCCACCACCACUCCCCAGCACAGCAGCACUCCACACCAUUCUGCAAUGCUCACAUCAACUCAGCAGUGUUCCUCCAGCUUCAGCCAUCCAAUCACAUGUGCCAUAUCAAACACAUGCAUACAGUAUAUCAGAGGAAUGGAGGCCAAUACUUGCCAAAAACUGUGGUCACUACAAGACAGCAGAGACUGGACAUAGCCAAAACAAGAGCACUAUUUACUGUCCAAACACAGAGACUCUAACAAAAGAAACAGCAGUGGCUGGUGUAAAUAAAAAAGAAAUAGAAUUUACUGCCUUAUAUAGUUAUAUACAUUUAAAAUUCAAAUAGUUGUAGUAUUUUUUGUUGUUUUGUUUAUAUAGUCUUAUAUAUGCAUGCUUUAAUAAUAUUGUAUAAUACUUUAUCAGUUGUGUUUAUUGUUAUGGAGUGUGUGGUUUUACUGUAUUAAUCUUAAUCUGGUGUAUUUGCUUAUUUAUUAAAAAAAAAAAUACAAUUCUAUUUUUUAAAUACCAGCAACUGGUCACUGAUUUAUAUCACACUUUUCCUUCUGUAAUCACUAUGCCUGUGUAGUAA